rnacentral:rRNA from 1 species
CUACGGGGGGCUGCAGUGGGGAAUAUUGGACAAUGGACCAGAAGUCUGAUCCAGCAAUUCUGUGUGCACGAUGAAGGUUUUCGGAUCGUAAAGUGCUUUCAACAGGGAAGAAGUUCUGACGGUACCUGUAGAAGAAGUGACGGCUAAAUACGUGCCAGCAGCCGCGGUAAUACGUAUGUCACAAGCGUUAUCCGGAAUUAUUGGGCAUAAAGGGCAUCUAGGCGGCUUGGUAAGUCUGAUGUGAAAAUGCGGGGCUCAACCCCGUAUUGCGUUGGAUACUGCUAGGCUAGAGUAUUGGAGAGGUAGGCGGAACUACAUGUGUAGAGGUGAAAUUCGUAGAUAUAUGUAGGAAUGCCGAUGACGAAGGUAGCUUACUGGACAAUUACUGACGCUGAAGUGCGAAAGCUAGGGGAGCAAACAGGAUUAGAUACCCGGGUAGUC